AAUGAGGCUAGAGUUACGCUUGGGUAUUGGUUAUUACCUUAGUGUGCUAGAAUCCUUGAAGAGUAACUUUGCUGAUCUUAUUUGCUAGCUGUGGCCCUGAUGGCACAGUCACUCAGCAGGUUAGUGACAUGG